AGAUUGAGUCUGUGAUUUGGGUUCAGCGCUGCAGGGGAAGGAGGCUCUCACUGUGGCAUUAAGAGAGGUAAUCUGACUGCCAGCACUUUCAUAUGGAAUAGCUAACACAGAUAGAAUUUAACUCAAUUUAACAAGCACCGUUUUUCCCUUUUUUUACUAAAUGUGUUCAUGAAUGCCUGUGGCAGCACUUAUAUGAGAGGUCAGACCGAGCAGCUGUUGCCAUCGUAACUUCCUAUUUAGUCACACUUGACAAAGCCGUGGUUUUCUAUCUUCUUGAAAGAUCAAUGUUUGAUCUCUGCUCAAAUUGACUAAGUAAAUAAAACACCGGGUGAUGUCCUUUUGGACACCUGGGAGUGAAAAACGUGGAGAAGUAAGUUCAUCUGGUCUGCUGUAGGCUGAGAGGAAUGACUCCCAGGACACCUUUCUCUACACUGCUUCAGCCAAAGGGCCUGGUUCUGCAGCAGGAUGGAUGCUUCCACCUGUAUAUGGACGCAUGCCUCUCGCUCCAGCUCCUUCAAAGACAGAAGUAACGAAUUUCUGCUUCUAUCUCUUACCUGAAUGCUGAGUGCACAUAAUACAGACGUCCAUGAAAUCUUAGGAAUCACGUAAUAGUCAGAAUUCAAUGACUACAGAGUUGCAUUUGUUCAAUUCUUUUUGCACUGUGGGCACACACUUAAUAAUGACCUCUAAACUUCUGCUGGCAGUCAUUCUCACCUUUCUCCUUAGGAUGCAACUUGCUCAGCAUUUAAGCAGACAAAUGUGUCACUGCUAUCACAUAGAGGGGAGGGAAGGGGAAAGGGAAAGGGAAGAGGAAGGAGAAGGUGGAGGGGAAAGAGAAGGGGAAUGGGAAGGGGAAGGUUGCUUUCAACCAAGUUGGUCUCUUGAUGCUGUUUUGCCAUGUUAACCCAGAAGUGGCUGCGCUGACAAAGACAGCAAGGCUCGGUGUGAUGGUUAAAGACAAGGGGGGAGCAGGACAACCUCUUGCAGUGUCUGUGCUGGCUUGGAGUGUUUGUCAAACAGUACCCCCUUCAGCUCAAUCGUUUAUUUCAAGUAACACCUCCUCCUCGAGAAUUCUUUGCAUCGCUGAUACGUGUCACAUGGACUGAGUGCGGCUGGUGACAUCUCACCCUGGAGCUGUGUGUGUCCAAGGCUGACUCACACUGCCUGGGAUGCCACGUAGGAGUCCUAGCCACUGGAGUUUGACCCACAGUUAGGAUCAAAUACUCAGUGAUAACGAAUGAGAAGACCUUGCUGUGGCCUGUCAGAAAGGCAGGAGUAAAACAAAAGCUUAUUUAUGAUUACCUGUUCCUGUAAUUAAAGUGGUAGCACAAUGAAGUCUCAAUCCAAUUGAAAGUUCUUUGAUUACAGUGUUUAAAAAUGUGCCUUCAUUAAAAACUCAGCAGGUCAACUUCAUUUGUAAUUGUAAACAUUAAUAAGUGGCACAGGAAAAUCAGAGCAGCCUGGAGGAUCUGGGGAUGGUGGCUGCUUCUGGGAUGAGGGGCAGGAUCCACCUCAUCCCUUUUCCUUCCAGAGGGAAGGUAGCCUUGUGAGGCUCUGCCCUCUGCUGUGGGACCACCAUCCUCUGCUCUGAGCACAGACAGAGAAAGCCCCCAGGAAGCAGCAUGGGACCAUGUGCUCUUUUCCUCCCAGAGAACCAAGUGUUGGCAAAUGACUUUGAUGGCAACUUUGGUUAGAAGUUUCAGACUGAUUUUAUUACAUAGCUACAAGAGAAAUUGGGAUAUCCAAGUAAUUAGAAAAAAAUAAAAAAAAGAUCCCAGUUGCUGGCUUUGUGCAGAUACUCUUCUGACCAGGACAGAGAAGUGUUGGUCAUGAAAAUGACCAGAACAGCAGCAGUGACCUCCAUGACUCAGCCUGGGCUUUGGUCCCAUAGCUGCCCUUUUGUUGAAGCCUGAUUUGAGGUCCCUGAGAUGGGAUUCAGGUCUUACUCGGCUAGGCUCAGGUUUUUGCAGCGGUGAUGAAGCAACAGUCAGUAAGAAGAUGAUGGACUAACAGUGAAUCAGUAUUAAAGGCACUCAGAAAACCAUGACCCCAUUUGAUAGAGCUGCCUAGUGAUCACUGCUGAUUAUACCAUAGUAAAAUAACUUCUCCCUGGCGGUUCAGCCCCUUCCCUCUGGUCUCAGCUGUGCCUUCCCUCCCAUCAAUGCUCCUGUGACACUGAGGUGAGCCAGACCAGGAAGCCAAAGUGCCAGAAAAUGCAUCCCUCCUCCUGAUGGGUGAGCUUCAGAUAGCUGCCAGCAGUGCUGGAGGAGCCCCAGUGACAGGGAGUACGAGGCAGAGAGGUAGGACUGGGAGUGGGGCAUAGUGGAGGGGAAUGGGGCUGCCUCCGCAGCUGCACCAAGCUGUUUGACAGGAUCCACUGUCAUGUCAGACACACCUUGAGUUACACCAUGCCACCACUACGGCUGGCUGUGCAGGGAGGGUUGGUUACCAGCAGUUAUGUGGGUGGCAACAUGGCCUCAUGCCGUUGCCUUCUCGUCCAAGGGCAGGAUUACCUGCAGCCUUAAAGGAAGUGUUCACUAUAGAGAGAGUCCCAUCAGUUUCAGAGGUGGGCCUGAAGGGAUUGAACUUCUGCGUGUAGAUCAACCUGCAGGGGGGUUCCUGUCAGGUGCAGUUAGGGAUGCUCAACUGGAAUGACAGAAGUAUAAACCAUGAGCUAAAUGUGCAUACCUGUGCAGCAGUGUUACAGAAGGAGCUGAGGUAGGACAUUUUGGAGUGAGACUGGUCUCUUCUAACUUUAGAUAGAAUAAUAGAACUACAAAAUAAUUAAGCUUGGAAAAGACCUCUAAGACCAUCUGGUCCAACCAGCAGCCCAUCACACCGUGCCCACUGCCCAUGGCCCUCAGUGCCACAUCCACACGGCUCUGGAACACCUCCAGGAAUGGUGACUCCACCACCUCCCUGGGCAGCCUGUGCCACUGCCUCACUGCUCUUCCUGAAAUGAAAUUGUUCCUAAUAUCUAAACUGAAACUUCCGUGGUGCAACUUCAGGCCAUUCCCUCUCAUCCUAUCACUGAGGCCAACCCCCACAUUGCUACAGACAGGUGUAGGGAGCCACACCUGACGAAGCUUGCAAGGCUCCCUUUGAAGUCAACUGGAGGGAAACAGGCUUUUUCAGGAUACAGCUCAUCUGAUCCUGAUGUAGAUACACACAAGUAAAGGUUAUAAAUACCCUAAAAUUUUGAAGGGGCUUUAUCCCCAUAGGCAUCUAUUUGUAAAUGAGAGAAUGGUGCCUGUUUCUUUCCAGCUGGCACUCUAGAGAACCUUCGACGGCUAAUGGGAGCACACACUUGGCCAGAUGAAUCCCAUCAUUUCUCUCCUGGGAUAUGAGGGUUGAGGAAAUGUGAGGAAAUAUUUCUGCAUGUUUGCAGAAUCAUAAACACAUUCUCAUCACAAAGCAGGAGCUAAAAAUUGCAUCAGACUUGGAGGGAAAGGUAGUGAUGAAAGAAGGAACUGCAUUCCAUUCUCCAAAGGACGAAGAACAAAAAAGCUUUUGAAAGAAGAACCGCCACAAACUCAGCUUUGUUCUGGACUGAUGCAGAUUUCUCUAUGCAGUGUGAUGCUGACCGCACAGCUGCUUCUUUAGAGCUUAGCCUUAACACCUGUGCUGCAGUUUGUUUUGGUUUGUUUUGACAUUAGGGUCUUACAAUCUUUUCUUUUUUGGAGUUAUUGUUUAGGAAAGUGUUUUUUGGCUCACUUCAGUGCCACAGACAGAGGUUACUCAAUUUUCAUUCUGAAGACUAAUCUACUCUUAUGGCUGUGUAAACAUUUGAGGCAGUAAUUGCUCAGCAAUAGCCCUGCUCUGUUCAGGUCUCUGUCACAACGUUUUGCCAGCAAUGGGAAACUGCCAACACACCUAUGUCUCCUGGGGGUAUGAAGAAACAAAAUCCUCACUGCUGCCAGAAGAAACUCCUUGUACAAACACGGUGAAACCUGCAAUACAGCACUUCCAUCGACAGCACUCAUUUCCUUCAAGAGGUGGUGGUUCUGCUACAGCAGUAGUACAGCAAGAUUUAUCAGUUCAGCCAUACCACAGGAGGGAUGUUUUGUCAACAGAGAGCACCAGUUCCGCAUCUCUUGUACAUCUGGUACAAGAAAUGGCACCUAUUGUACUUGACCUUGAUGUCUGCAUGGUUUAUUUCUUCUAGAAAAGGUUUUGACUGCUGAUUUAAAGAGCCACACUUCAUCACAGCCUGCUAAACUCCCCUUGCGUUAUUUUAUGAAACAGAACUUAAUACAUCCAAGAUUCUUACAAAUGCGUAAAACAUGUGCUUGAGAAUGUGUUAUUAUUCUUAAACAUUCCUCCUUAGCUUUGGGAUUAAGCUGGAGUUUAGUUUAAAUGAGGGGCACAACUGGCCGUAGCACGGUGGUGCUUAGCUAGUUUCAGGCAAAAACAUGCACUCGUUCUGGUAAUACUCUAGGAAAAUACACUCAGAGAGCUUGUUUCUCCUUGAGAAGAGUGUGUAUUCCCUUGCCUCAGCUUCUACUUGGGAAGAGACAGCAUGCAAAACAAUGCUGUCAUUGAAGUCGGGCCGCUAAUAUUUGAUCCUCCAAGGGUUAAACAGUGUCACUGAACUGAUUCGUUUCCUCUCUGUCAGACAGAACUACGCUGUAUGAAAUAAUCUGUUUAUAUUCCUUUCCCAUUCCGCACAGACUUACAGAGCACAUUAACAUGGCUGUGUCAAGCACUCACAUUCCUUUAGUAAAGAGCAAUUUAAAAGUAAUUUUUUGAGAGGGUCGUGGGUUUUUGUUUUCUUUUCUUUUUUACUUUAAAUGGAAGUGAUCGUCUGAAAGUUUUGCAUUGGAGAAGUAAUAGGUCUGGAUACAGCAUUUUCAAGUGUUUGGAGUGAUAUUCCAUGCCCCUGGAGACCAGCGAUUGAGCAGAUUUCUCUGAGUCUAUCUGGGACAAAUGAGAUAGAUGCUUAAGUUCGGGUGUACGAUUCGCGGGAGAAAAUUCAGGCUACUAUUAAGUAAUCCUUUUGGAUAAUGGAAAGGAAAAUGUCCUUUUAUAGAAGAAGUUUUGUGAAGUACAUAUGCCUGUUGGACAAUUGCUGGGAGAAAAACUCACUGGCAGCUCUUACAGUCAAUGUGGAGAUGUGACACUGAGGGACGUGGUCAGUGGGCGUGGUGGUGGUGGGCUGAUGGUUGGAGUAGAUGGUCUAAGUGGUCUUUUCCAACAUUAAUGAUUCUAUGAUUCUGCGUGGGAGCAUAUCAUGGAAAUGUUUGGUCUGUCUGUGUUGAACUGAACCUGGCCGGGGGCAUAGUGAGGAGAAGAGGGGGAAUCGGGGCUGUGAAAGUCUCAUUCCAGACAGUCUUUGACCAUGCUGCAAGAUGCUCAGUGAUUCUGCCCAGGCUGUGCUCUCUACUCAGUUGCACAGGAAAUAGUGACGAGGUUGGUGAUGAGCUACAAAAGCUGUUUUGAAGUCAUAGGAGUAGAAGCAGGAUAUGGGAGUCAGGGGGGAAAUAGGGGAAAACAGGGAAGGGAAAACAGACACUGGGGAAAGAGAGCAGAAAGAAGAAUUUUUGCCUAAACUCCCUCUCCUCCAUGGUCUUUGUGCAGCUUUGUCUUGCUCUGAGAACAGCUGCACAAGCCAUAAUUUGAGGUAGGUCCUUUCCCUGACCUCUUUGUAUUCCCCGCUACCUAAUUUCCUCAAGCUGAAACAAACAGGAAACAUGCCUGCAAGGUCUAUGUGUCUGUCUGUCUGUAUUUAUACGGUGCAGGUGAUGAGCCAGUGGAGAGAAAAGCCUCACUUUGUGACUCCACUGCUCUGCGUCUGUGCUGCAGUAGAGCAUUUCCAUGUUGUUAUUUCAUUGCUGCUCAGUGUAAGUCGUCUUCCUCCUGCCAGCCCUGCAAUGAAGGCAGGCACCUUCCCAGCCCAGGAGUGCAGGCUGCCUACUGGGUUUGGCAAGCAGCAAUUUCAGAGGAAGGUUGGCAAUUCACUGUGAGGCAGGACUGCAGAAGGCUCCUUGGCUAGGACAGAGGGAUUGCAGUGAAAAGUUCCCAAAGGGAAUAUAAGCCAUGAUAUUUGCUUAGCAGGAAAGCGCUGGCAUGUGCCAAUGCCUUCUUGCAUCCAUCCCUAAUAUCUGGCUAAAGUAACGUUUCCAUAUACUGUAGGAUGAAAGAUCCCUCAAGUUAACUUCUCUUAAAGAUGACAAAGCUUUCUCCUGUAGCUUCCACUGAUGCUGUUGUUUACCCCCUUACCCACAGGUGUUUCCCCAACCAUUAGUGCUACCAUCUGCCUUCACGUGCAUGACCUCAGCCUCUGAGUGGUGCAGGUGGACAUGGAGCCCCAUCCCUGAGCAGAAGCGUGGUUCCUAAAGCCCACAAGCAUUUCUCCAGCUCAGGCCUUGCUCAGCCUAUGCACAGAACCAAGCUGCCUAAGGAAAGAAAAGCUUGUCUAAUGCUGAAUGGGGAGUAAAUAAUAUCUGUACCGCAUGGUGAUUCAAAGGAAAAUGGAAGCAUGAAAGAGUGGUGAUUGACACUCAGUGCUUGAAAGACACACAAACAAAUCCUAGUUAAGUCUCUCUUCUAAGUGAAUCAUUGCCACUGGUAUUCAGAUGUCAAAAGAUACUAACGUUCAAAAUGAUCGCUGAGAUGGCAGUUCUCUUCUAAAUCUAUAUGUUACCUUUGGCAGUGACAUUUCUCUGUUGGCCUUGACUUGGAAGUGAAUAACUGGGGACUUCAGAGACUCCAUUUUAAACAAUGCUGCCCAGCACAAAAUAGACUCUGCUGUUCUUCCAAAAAAAAUAUGUGCCUGCCUGACAUUUUCUAGCAAAGCUGCUGGCGCUAUCAUUUCCAGUCUUAUGAUUUUAGCAAGUUGGGGAAAAUAUGGAAGGAGAAAUACUAUGUAGAUAAUAGGACUGAAGAAAAUGGCCUUGUGCUUAGCAAAAAUUUCAUUUCAGGUUCUAAAUAAAGAAAAAAAAAUAUA